AAUUGGAAUUUCAAAUAUCUGUUUUUUCAUUCUUUCUCAAUCUCACAAAACUCUGUUCUCAUUCUCUCUUUACCCUCUUCCUCCUCCAACACCCUCUAGCAACCGCCGCCGCCUCUCUCCUUGCUUGCAUCCAUCGUUUGAUUUUGACUCUCCCUGUAUCUCUCUCUCUCUCUCUCCCCUGAAACCCCUUUCUCUCUAAUCUCAUACGGAGCUCUCUCUCUUCUCUCUUCUUUCAAAUCUGAAAAAAUUCAAGCAACUAUACAGGUAUAUAACACCAUUGGAAAAAAAUAAGAAGCUAAAGGAAAUGAAAAACACAAUUAAAAAAAGGUUAAAUGAAAAAGGAAAAAAGGUCAACGGUGGUGGCCGGUGAUAUAGUGGUGGUUGGAGGUCGAAAGCGGUGGUGAGGAGGAUGAUGGUGUGGUCGUGUUGACAGAAAGAGAGAAGCGGCGCCGGAGGUAGGAGAUGAAACCGAAUUGGGUUUUGGUGGCGCCGGUGGUGGCUCGUGGAAGGGAUUGAAGAGAGAAAAGAAACAAUAGUGUUUUUUUCAUUUCUUUUUUGAAACAAUAUUUUAUUUUAUUUUUUUCUUUUCUUAAUUGGAAUAUGCAUUUUUUUAUUAUUAAAUUUUGUCAUUGGACAGUGGUAGAAAUGUGUACAGACACGUAAGUGUGUUUACCUAUAAGUGCUCUUUUUUUAUUAUUAAAUUUUGCCAUUGGACAGUGGUAGAAAGGUGUACAGACACGUAAGUGUGUUUACCUAUAAGUGCUCUUUGCUAUUAGAUGUAGCCCUAUUUUUUUUUUUUUUUCUUUCUUUCUCAUAAGUCAAGUAUAAUAAGCCUCCACUUUAUAUCUAGAUAGCAUCACGAUUGACA
rnacentral:lncRNA from 1 species